UACGUAGGGGGCAAGCGUUGUCCGGAUUUAUUGGGCGUAAAGAGCGUGUAGGCGGCCAUACAGGUCCGUUGUGAAAACUCGAGGCUCAACCUCGAGACGUCGAUGGAAACCGUAUGGCUAGAGUCCGGAAGAGGAGAGUGGAAUUCCUGGUGUAGGCGGUGAAAUGCGCAGAUAUCAGGAAGAACACCCGUGGCGAAGGCGGCUCUCUGGGACGGUACUGACGCUGAGACGCGAAAGCGUGGGGAGCGAACAGG
rnacentral:rRNA from 1 species